GAUGAACGCUGGCGGCGUGCCUAAUACAUGCAAGUCGAGCGAACAGAUGAGGAGCUGGCUCCUCUGACGUUAGCGGCGGACGGGUGAGUAACACGUGGAUAACCUACCUAUAAGACUGGGAUAACUUCGGGAAACCGGAGCUAAUACCGGAUAAUAUAUUGAACCGCAUGGUUCAAUAGUGAAAGACGGUUUUGCUGUCACUUAUAGAUGGAUCCGCGCCGCAUUAGCUAGUUGGUAAGGUAACGGCUUACCAAGGCGACGAUGCGUAGCCGACCCGAGAGGGUGAUCGCCCACACUGGCACUGAGACACGGUCCAGACUCCUACGGGAGGCAGCAGUAGGGAAUCUUACGCAAUGGGCGAAAGCCUGACGGAGCAACGCCGCGUGAGUGAUGAAGGUCUUCGGAUCGUAAAACUCUGUUAUUAGGGAAGAACAAAUGUGUAAGUACCUAUGCACGUCUUGACGGUACCUAAUCAGAAAGCCACGGCUAACUACGUG
rnacentral:rRNA from 1 species